UCUCAGGUUCAAAUAUUGAGCAGCAAACAUUUGACGGUAUUAAUACACAGGCCGCGAUUGAUCCAGACAGUGCAGCCAAUGACAGUUAUCGAUCUCACGCAAGAUGCCGACGAAGAUCCCCCCGUCAACGUAACAGACAAACCUCACAUCCUACCUGAUUCCACUCCGGCCCACAUCGAGAAUCCAAUAGGAUCCUGCGACGAACCACUUCCUGGACCCGCCGACGAACCGGCAAGAAAGAAGACUAGAAAAAUGAAUCGCCCCACCUCUCCGGUCAGUCCUGGACCAUGUGACGAACCACCAAGAAAGAUUUAUCGUUUUACAGCGGUGGUCCGACCUGAACCGAACGGCGAACUACCAAGAAAGGCUUAUCGUUUUACCCCGGCGAUCAGUCCUGAGAGCUCUCCAGAGUGGAAAACUCUCUGUCUGACACCACCGAACAGCCCGGCGACCACAGACUCGAGUAGAAGCCAUAAGGAUGACGUGACUACCUGGGGCACGCCUCAAAUCGAUGCUUGGAACCAGAGUUCUUGGACGAGCGAGCGUGAUGAGGUGUCUGCCACCAACGUGGGUCAAACACCAUAUCCUUCUCCCUCACCGUCGUCGGAAAAUCAUUACAUUACGGAAUAAGUAGAAGUGGAAGAAGUACCGGCGCCUCAGCCGGUUGAUGAACCAUUCGAUGAUCUGCCUCCGUCUCAUAGCCCCAUUAAUUCGAUACAAUCAUUUGGUCAAGAGUUUCGUGACGCGCAGGUUGACAUAAACAACAAAUAUGUCGAACUGCGUGACGUACAAGAUGAUAUUAACAACAAAUUGAUUGCGUUGCGUAGUGAGUCUCGUGACAGACAAAUCGAAACCCUUAGCAGAUUAGACGCACUGAACGGGGAGCUCCGUGCGUAUCACCUCGAGACACGCAAUCGAUUCGAUGCUCAGGAUCGCUUUAUUCAUGAUUUGGCCAAUGAAAUAUUCCAUCGCGUUAAUGCUAUGAGAUCAACGAUUGAUCAACAGUUUGAUAGAAAUGAUCUUAUGGUGAGUCAAUACCAACGGGAAUUGAUGCUCAUAUUGCAUCACCUUAUUCUCACCAUCGUAGAUGAGACCACGGAGUCAAAUUGAAUAUAGAUGUAUUCCGAGUAAUUCUUAUAUUCCAUCUAUACUUUGUUUACAUAUAAUCUGAUAUUUCAAGUAAUUCUUAUAUCUCACGUCUGCUAUGAUUGUUUAAAUAUUUCAUGUAUGCUUUUUAUACUUUGUUUUACAUAUAAUCCGAUAUCUCAUUUAUACUCUGAUUUUGUAACAAGUCAUAUAUGCUUUUUAUAUUCUGAUUUUGUAAUAGUUCAUUUAUGAUUUUUUUUUUACUAUAUGAAAUGUGUAAUAGUUCAUGUAUGCUUUUUUAUACUCUAUGAAAUUUGUAAUAGUUCAUGUUUGCUUGUUUUAACUCUAUGAUUUUGUAAUAGUACGUGUUUUGGUCUGAAAUCUAAAAAAUGGACGGGUCAGACGACUUAUGUCAAUUAGACCAAUCCUCCACAAAACUGACGCCGGACGAGAUCGAAAUGCUAAGUAUACUUCCGGACUCUUUAGAACAGUAUUUGUUUAAUUUAGAAUUCCCUGCUAUUUUGGAUCUUUUUGAAUUAGCCGUAAAUCCAGAUAUGAAUUUGUUUGAUCCUCUGCUAAGCCUAGACAACGAUCCCGUUGUACAACACGGCGGUGUU